rnacentral:misc_RNA from 1 species
UUUUACUUCUAAGGAAUUGGAGAAAGCAACUGAUCACUAUCAUGUAAACCGAAUCCUUGGCCAAGGAGGUCAAGGAACAGUAUACAAAGGAAUGUUGACAGAUGGGAGAGUUGUUGCUAUUAAGAAAUCCAAAGUAGUGGAUGAAGACAAGCUUGAGCAAUUCAUCAACGAGGUGUUGAUUUUAUCACAAAUAAACCAUAGAAAUGUGGUGAAGCUACUUGGAUGUUGUUUGGAGACGGAAGUUCCUUUACUUGUUUAUGAGUUCAUCCCUAAUGGAACGCUGUUCCAAUAUAUACAUAAUAAAAAUGGAGAGUUUCCAGUUACAUGGGAAAUGCGUUUGCGCAUUGCCACAGAAGUUGCAGGUGCUCUAUCUUAUUUGCAUUCAGCAGCUUCCAUGCCUAUUUAUCAUAGAGAUAUCAAGUCAUCCAAUAUUCUUUUGGAUGAUAAGUUUAGAGCAAAAGUGGCAGACUUUGGCACCUCAAAAUCAAUUUCAAUUGAUCAAACACAUGUGACCACUCGAGUACAAGGAACCUUUGGAUAUUUAGAUCCUGAGUACUUCCAGUCAAGCCAAUUUACAGAUAAAAGUGAUGUUUAUAGUUUUGGUGUAGUUCUUGUCGAGCUUUUGACUGGGCGAAAGCCUAUUUCUUCAACAUUAUCUGUUGAAGAGAGAAGUUUAGCUACAUACUUUAUAUUUUCAAUGGAGGAGAAUCGUUUGUUUGAAAUUGUUGAUGCUCAAGUUCUCAAGGAGGGUGGGAACGAAGAAAUUAUUGCAAUUGCUAAGCUUGCCAAAAAAUGCUUGAACUUGAAUGGAAAGAAGAGACCCACGAUGAAGACAGUGGCAAUGGAGUUAGAAGGGAUUAGAGCAUCUCAUGGAGUUUCGCCCAUCAUGGAACAAGAUUACGAAGAGGUUGAUUAUAUUGUAGGUGACUAUACAGCCGCAUGGGAUGUUGCUUCUUCUUCAACCAGAUCAUUGAAUAGUAGUAUACCAUUGAUGAAAUAAUAGAUAUUUUUAGGGGGA